CCUACGGGAGGCAGCAGUGAGGAAUAUUGCACAAUGGACGAAAGUCUGAUGCAGCAACGCCGCGUGGAGGAUGAAGGCCCUUGGGUCGUAAACUCCUUUUUUCAGGGAAGAGAAUGGACGGUACCUGAAGAAUAAGUCACGGCUAACUACGUGCCAGCAGCCGCGGUAAUACGUAGGUGGCAAGCGUUAUCCGGAAUUACUGGGCGUAAAGCGCACGCAGGCGGUCUUUUAAGUUUGACGUGAAAGCUCCCGGCUUAACUGGGAGAGGUCGUUGAAUACUGGAAGACUUGAGGCAAUGAGAGGGGUGUAGAAUUCCCGGUGUAGUGGUGGAAUGCGUAGAUAUCGGGGGGAAUACCAGUGGCGAAAGCGGCACCCUAGCGUUAGCCUGACGCUCAUGUGCGAAAGCGUGGGGAGCGAAUGGGAUUAGAUACCCCGGUAGUCCACGCUGUAAACGAUGGACACUAGGUGUGGGGGGAGUCGAAUCCCUCUGUGCCGCAGUUAACGCGUUAAGUGUCCCGCCUGGGGAGUACGGCCGCAAGGCUAAAACUCAAAAGAAUUGACGGGGGCCCGCACAAGCAGCGGAGCAUGUUCUUUAAUUCGAUGCAACGCGAAGAACCUUACCUGGACUUGACAUGGUGCUGCAAGCGCACGGAAACGUGUGACCUUCGAGGGUGCACCACAGAUGCUGCAUGGCUGUCGCCAGCUCGUGUCGUGAGAUGUUGGGUUAAGUCCCGCAACGAGCGCAACCCCUGUGGCGUGUUGCCAUCAUGUUGGGGACUCACGCCAGACUGCCGGUGACAAACCGGAGGAGGUGGGGAUGAGGUCAAGUCAUCAUGGCUCUUACGUCCAGGGCUAGAAACGUGCUACAAUGGCUGAUACAAAGGGUUGCAAGACCGCAAGGGGAGCGAAUCUCAUCAAAGUCAGUCUAAGUUCGGAUCGCAGUCUGCAACUCGACUGCGUGAAGCGGAGUUGCUAGUAAUCGCGGAUCAGCAUGCGCGGUGAAUACGUUCCCGG
rnacentral:rRNA from 1 species